UACGAGGGGGGCGAGCGUUGUUCGGAAUUAUUGGGCGUAAAGGGUGCGUAGGCGGUUCGGUAAGUUUUAUGUGAAAUCUUCGGGCUUAACUCGAAGCCUGCAUAAAAUACUGCCGGGCUUGAGUAUGGGAGAGGUGAGUGGAAUUUCCGGUGUAGCGGUGAAAUGCGUAGAUAUGACUUAGAACACCAAUUGCGAAGGCAGCUUGCUAAACAAAUAUUGACGCUGAGGCACGAAAGCGUGGGGAUCAAACAGG
rnacentral:rRNA from 1 species